rnacentral:rRNA from 1 species
GAUGAACGCUGGCGGCGUGCCUAAUACAUGCAAGUCGAGCGAACAGACGAGGAGCUUGCUCCUCUGACGUUAGCGGCGGACGGGUGAGUAACACGUGGAUAACCUACCUAUAAGACUGGGAUAACUUCGGGAAACCGGAGCUAAUACCGGAUAAUAUAUUGAACCGCAUGGUUCAAUAGUUAAAGACGGUUUUGCUGUCACUUAUAGAUGGAUCCGCGCCGCAUUAGCUAGUUGGUAAGGUAACGGCUUACCAAGGCGACGAUGCGUAGCCGGCCUGAGAGGCUGAUAGGCCACACUGGAACUGAGCCACGGUCCAGACUCCUACGGGAGGCAGCAGUAGGGAAUCUUCCGCAAAGGGCGAAAGCCUGACGGAGCAACGCCGCGUGAGUGAUGAAGGUCUUCGGAUCGUAAAACUCUGUUAUUAGGGAAGAACAAAUGUGUAAGUAACUAUGCACGUCUUGACGGUACCUAAUCAGAAAGCCACGGCUAACUACGUG